GAAGACAAUAUCCUUUGUAGUAAUCGGUCCGUUACAGAUGGAUGGACCCAAAUGGACCGGCGUAACUUCUGUCGCCUACGCUCUGCGCCUUAUUGUUUAGAGAAAACGUUGACAUGAGGAAAUUCGUCAGAGGAAGAUACCGCAUUUAGGACGAACGGAACAUAAAUCCCCGACAGAAGCUAUUCUUGGACGCUAAGGAAUAAAUGAUGAACAUCAUCAUAUUAACUAUCAUCGAUUUCCUCUUCCUUGUCUUCUGCAAUCCAUCCAACUAUGAAGCAAUCCAAAACAUUACAAGCUGAUCCUGAGGUUCUGCCAGAAUACACUUACUACUUAGAGGAAUAGAAGGAGUUUACUUAUUGUCAGACCUUUAAAUCGUUACACAAAUCGGUCUAGCCAUUUUGGAGGACUCUGUUAAAGGACACCGUGACUGAAUUUUAUUUUUGUUUAUGUAAAUAAGAUAUGGACAUAUAAGAGACCUUUGUCUUGUUAAUCGCUUGGUCUAUGGAGAGUUAUUAAUUCGUUUAUGAGUAGUU